UGGCUUGUUUUUGUUCCAAAUCUCAAGUGGCUGCGAAUAUUUGAUUGUGAUGACAUGGAAGAAAUAAUCAGUGUUGAAAAUUUUGAAAAAUUGAGUGAAGUUUCAGAGAUGAUGGGAGAGCUUAACUUGUUCUCGGAACUCGAAUCUCUGAAUCUAGGAUAUGCAAGUAAUUUGAAGCGCAUCUACCGCGAUCCCUUGCCCUUUCCACAGCUGGAGCAAAUUUACAUAUCGAAAUGCCCAAAGUUGAAGAAGCUCCCGCUCAAUUCCAGCAGCGCAAAGGGACGUAAAAUUGUCAUUUACGGGGAGAAAGAAUGGUGGGAAGAGCUACAAUGGGAGGAUCAAGCCACUCAAAGUGCUUUCUCUCCCUGUUUGGCUGUUUCGUGCCUUCAUGAAUAAUAAAGUGCAAUAAGGCGCAAAAGUGUGAAUAAAGUUUCUGCGUGUGCUUAAUGAUUAUCUUGUCUAUCCAUUUCAUUUAAUUUAAAAGCUUUCUACGGUGUUGCGUGUGUGUCACUUGUCAUUCUUCUGCACUGCUGUUUCCUAUUUCCAGUUAAUAAAAUUUUUUUGUUCUUAGAAAUGCUUUGCUGGUAAUAUAUUCUAUUUACUUUCCUCCUAUUUUCAUUACAGCUAAUAAUUGCAUAGUUGUAUAAUUUUUUAAUAUUAUCUUUAUUUUUAAAUAUACUUUUAUUUAUAUUUAUUAUAAAUUAAAUAAAUGUAUGAAUAGAAAUUAAAAUGAAAACUAAGUAUUAAAACAAGAAAUAUAUAUUUUGAUUUGAAUAAAAAUAUAAAUAUUUGUUUGUACUUUUUUAUAUAUAUAUUCAAUAUAAGAAAAUAUUUAUAAAAUAAAAAGUGUAAGAAAAAUAUCUUAUUAUUAAUUCUUAUUCACAUCAAAACAUAUAUUUCUUACUUUAAAUACUUAAUUUUUUAUUCAAAUUAUCAUUCAUAUGAUUUAUUUAAUUUAUAAUACAUAUAAAUAAAAAUAAUAUUGUAAAUUAUGUUGUUAGAAAUUAUUAGUUAUUAUAAAAAUAAUAUGGGACAAAUGGUAAAUCGGAGAUAUUGUUUCCUAUUUUCAGCUAAAAAAUUUAUUUGUUCUAAUAAUUGCUUUGCUAGUAAUAAGGCCUGCAAGUUGCUUAACUGAAUAUGACUUCUUUUUUAAAAAUGUUACUAUCAAUUUCGAUGAUUGAUUAUCUCGAAGUAGUGAAAUUUAUGUAAUGUUGGUAUUAAAAAAAUUUGUGCUACUGAUAAAAAAAGUCCAUUGGAUUCGGCCUAAAUGACGGAUCGUGGCUUGAUUUUCUCAUCCCAAAGGCUCUGUAUCUCACUUUCGAAAGUAGUUUUAGCAUAAUGUAGGUGAAAAAUUAAAAUAUUCUGCGAUCUCUAUAUAGCUUUUCCAACAGAUUUCACCCAUUUGACUGUAGACCAAAGCAUCCAUUGGAUCGAUGCAUUUAUUAAGAAGAGGAUCAUUCGGAGCUACAAUUGGAGGAUCGAGUCACGCAAAGAGUUUUCUCUACUUGUUUCGAUCCUAUGGAGAUAGAGUUUUCAUAGAUUGAUGGUAGGAGCUUUUUUGUCAAUUUAUGUAUCUAAUUGUGUGUAACAUGCUUUCUUGUCUUUCAUAUCAGACAUUGUAAAUUUGUAAUGUUGCCAUUUUCUUUUUCCUAUCAAGAAAGAAAGAGCAUUGCGAGUAGUCUUUCCAAUUUUCACUCCUUUUUGGUAUGUGAAGAAAAAUAAUAAAGCAAAACAAACUAGUGUUGAAGAAAAAGAAAAUGACAAGUUCAAUAGGGCAAAAGUUCACCAUCCCUUUACCAUUUGCUCAAGCAAGUAAGCUUUACGUUUACUUCUUGAGAUUUGAACUAACCAGACAACUUGUAAUGUUACCAUAAAGUUCAAAGAUUAGAAGAGAAAAACUUAUGUCUGUUAGGCACUAUUAUUCAGGCUUAAAUAAUAACAAUAAAAUACUACACCAUGUCUGCUCUCUUUUACUUUUCUUGGUUCUGUUGUAAAAUUCAGUUCUAUUUGAAGGAAAUUAUUAACAUCAAAACUAAAUACUUCGUGAGCAUCUACUGACAACAUACUCCAGAUGACACCAUAACCAUAUCAUAUAAAGCAAGAAAUGUGAAAUAAAUACAAAAUGAAUCAUAGGAGGGAAUUACCACACUCUGCGGUCUCUCCUGCUAAACCCUGCAGUUAGAAUGCCAUUUGUCGUGAGCACCUGAAUCCCCAAAGGACUCCCAGCUUCAAGUGGCUUUGACUUAGCUUGCUUUAGCUCCAUUGCACAUACUCACUCACAUGAAGGAAAUGAACAGAACAAGAAACCUCAUCAUGCCGAAUAUGAUAGAUAUGACAAGGCAUUACACUGUAGGAAGCUCCCGAUUUCUCUACAAAACUCUGCAGGUUCUCCACAAUCAAGGCGUGCUCCAUCUUUAACAGAUCACUUCUACCAUUAAGAGAAGGAAGAGAGUUCCUCUCGUGUGGCAGUAAAUCCUUACUUAACACAGGAUUGAAGCCAACCAAGAACGGAAGGCAAUUUCGUUAGAUUAAGAACCGAAUCACCAUCCAAUAUAGUAGCAUUUGAACCAGAACUCUUGUUAAAUUCUUGAAAUCUCCUGCUUUCAUCAGUCUGUAAGAGAAAUGAAGAUGAGAAUAAUAGCCAGAACCGGAUUAAAUUCAAUCUGGUCUUUUGAAGACUUCUAUAACAACUAAGAGAACCCAGUGUACCGCCUACAGAUACUGUCAGGCUUCUAUCAAAUAUCCCAAACACCAAAAACCAACCCAAUUAAGCUAACAAACCUGCAUGAAUAUCUAAAUUUCAAUGCACGUGAAACAAACUCCGUGUUCAAUCCACCAAAACUAGCAAAUUUCAAACUUUAUCACUCAUCAUUCUCUCUCUGUCAGCUGUAUGAGGCUAUGAGAUCAUGUUAUAAUGUUCAUAUUGAUGCUGAAUGUUUUGCCAGCUUGUCUGAAUUCCAUAAGAGAAUGCAAUGUGCACAUUAUUGUGCCUUGCCCACCAUUAGAUUCUAAACCACAAAAUCAUUGUGUGAAGUAGCUGACGUUUCGCACAUUCUUAUCCCUUAUCAUCAAUAUUCUUCUCCUCAAGCUUAGAUCAUGGAAAUUUGAGUGACAAACAUGAUAACAUGGUAACACCAUCUAAACUUUAGGGGCAUAAAGUAACAUAGAAGCAACAUGGGAUGUUUUAAAAUCUAUUAUAAUUUGCUUAGGCCCCUGAAUAAAAUUAAAACUUGUAAUGAAAUAAAGUAGCAAAAUAAAGAUUGGAGGUCGCAUGCUUGAUAUUUGAUGCUGUCAAAAUUAAUUUGCAGUGCUGAAAUUGCUGCUCCAAUAAAUUUUUCAAUGGGAUUUCUAUAUUUACAACAAAUUUUCAGUAUUGAAACAGGAUUAAAAUCAUAAAGUAUCUUUUAAACAGCAGAGGCAACAAGAUCCUACAGAAAAAGAAGGCAAAAAGUAGUUACAAGCUACAGAAACGCAAAUAUUCUACUGGCCAACUCCCACUAAAUUCGAAGCAAUUCUAAAAUCUCAGCUUGUACUACGACAUCAUUCCUUCUAUGUGGCCCAACUGUACUUCACCCAGAAAUCACAUUUCUUCAUCAGAGAUAAUUUUACUUCUAAUAAGAGAGAAUUUUUUAUAUGCAUGGCUUUACAGUAAUGAAUAAUUUUCCUUAAAUCUUUUCUAACAGACAAGAAAGCACAAAGCACAAAAAUUGAUAUAAACAACUUUUCUCGAAGCUUUUUCAUAAGAAAACCUGAACAUGAUUGCUUCUCUUAGAAGGCCCCCUAGCUUCCUGCAAGAACCUUGUGCCCCCAAAAAAAACAAAGGAUUAUAAUUAGGCAUAAGGCUCCCAAUGUUCUUGCAGGAAUUAUGAUGAAUAUGAGAGUUUCAAAAAAGAAAAAAAAAUAUUACGACAACCUCUAGGCGGAGGAAAUCAGUUUUCUAGGAAUUCGUUAGAUUGGUGAAGUUAUAGAACCGCAGCAAUUUGCUGUAGUUUGGAAUGUUUUUGCCUUUCAUUAUAGCAUUUGAAAAGGCUCAAGGAUAUAGAAGAACCUUGGCUACAAAUUCAGGGAAGAUUUCACUUAUAAUGAGAAAUAAUCACCAUUAUUAUAUACAAUGAGAAAACAGUUAUGGAAGAAAUAGAAAGAAUUACCCGAAACGGAGGAUUUGGAAGACAAUGAGACAAAAGUAUAAAGAAGAAGAAAUUGGAGAUAUAAUGACUGCCUAUUUCUUUGAUGAACCCAUCAAAAACGGCUUGAAAAUUAAAGAAAUUGUAAAAUGCUGUAACGGAGGAAUUGAAACUGUAAAAGAUGCAAGUUAAUUCAUGGGGCUGGCCAUCUUGAUUGAUUGAACACCUAUUAGAUUUUUAAUAUUAAAGAACUCACUUUAAUGAUGUUUAAUUGGUAGUAGCCCUUUAUAGUCUUUAAACCUUUAGCAGUGCAAAGUCACAAGCUUUGUCCAGAAUCUAAGGGCGUAAGUUAUAGGCGAUGGGUGCCAUCACCUGGGCAACGACGUACAUCGCUUGGGCGACAAGCCAAUUUACUAGGCUCAUCGCAAACAGCCUUCGUCGCCUGGGCGAUGGCCAAAUCCAUCCAAUAAACUUUCAGCUCAUGUUUGAUAGUCUAAAAAAAGUAGUUAUGGUGGCCAUCACACAUCACAUUUUACUGACAAGCUGUCUUAAUUUUCAUAGAAAAUUGUUCCUACUGAUUUUCCAAUACUGGCCUAAUACUUGCAGAUUAUUAAACGAUUAUGGAAUGGCGGCGAUUUUAGACCAGUAAUUUUGUCAAUAAUUGCUAAUUCGCAAUCCCUUUACAAAUCUAAUAAUCUACUGCAUACACGCUCUUGAUGACUUGGAUUCUCAAAAAAUAACCAUUUUACGCCGCUGAAGCGCAGAAAAAUCAAUUGUUUUAUCCACUUCCAAAUAAAACUUAUUCUAGUAAAUGCGAUAAAGAAAUGUUUAUUUCAAUUUCCAACCCAGAUCUCAUAAAGAAUUUCUCACUCAAAUAAACAAAUAAAUAUCAUCUGGUAAUGGUAUGACAUUUAUUUUGAAGUAAACACUGGCCCACUAUUUUCUCAAUUUUCCAUUGUUUGAGGACACCAUUUUCUCAAUUGAAGAACAUGUUCUGGCCAAAAUUCACAAUUUUCUCCACGUGAUUUAAAGCACACAGGAUUCACACUUUUCUCCACGUGAUUUAAAAGCACACAGAAUUCUCCUGACCUUAAUUACGGAUCUUAUUAUGUUUAUUGAAAUCCAAUAUUGUAGACUCAUUGUUGUAGCUAGAAAAUCAUAUUAAUAGAGUAAAAUUUAUAAAUAAUCAAAGAAAAGAGUUCACGCUCUUACUUCAUUACUUUUAUAAUCUUAUUAGUAUAUCUACUUACAUGUCUUCAGAAAAUACAGUUUUAAGAGGAUAUUUUUAUUUUUCUUCGUAAUAAUAGAUUUAAUUUUCAUCUUUCUAAUGUUAAGUUGCAUAUUUGGAGUAAAUAAUAUUAAAUUUCAAAUUAGAUCACAGACCCCAUUUUAAUAGAUUCAAUUGGAUUUUGGACAUCUAAUUAAACAACUGGACUAAUAAAUUGCAAAUGAAUGAGAUUUAUAUGUGAUUUUAAAAUAAAAUUUGAACUCAAAUCUAUGUAUUUAAUUAAUCCAACAGGACAAAUUUAUAAUUUUCACCAACUAAAUAAAAUAUGUUAUCAGAAACUUUUGGACCAAGUCGCGCACUUCGUGGGUCUGCUACUACUUAUAGUCCAUUCUCAUUCAACUUUCACAUCUUUUAUAUUAUGUACAAAUUGGAUUAUAUUCUAAAACAGUGUUUCUAAUUGUUUAACGUUUUAUUUCUGGGUAUAUUUAGAGAUUAAAAAAUAUGGGAAACAUAAUUAAUUUUAUCAAAUAAAAAGGAGUAUUGUUCAUUUUUUCAUAAACAAUGUGUUAAAAUACUUUUGGUAUUUAAGAAGUAAAAAUUUUUAUUUUUGUUUCAUAAAAAAGCAUUCAAAAUUAUAUUAAAUAAAAUUAAAGAUUAACAAAACUGACAUCUGAAUUUCGUGCAAAUUAUAAUAAGUUUAUCUCCAGCGUGAGUAACAUUAAAGCUUGGCUAGCAUCAUCAUAUUUUAUCUCCAGCAUCAAAAUUCUGAUAACAUCAACAUCAUAAUUCCAAGGUUGUCAAAACUAAUUAUCAAAUUAAAAUCCUUUGUGAUUUAAGCUCUCUUGGACUUUUAAAAAUGUUAUGCCACCCCUUCUUUAAUAAUAGUAGUAUAUGAUUAUGAUUUAAUUAUUUUAUUUUUUUAAUUUAUCAAACACCAAUCACUUAAAUUAAACUCAAGAAAAAAAUUAGAACAUCAAAGAAUUUUAAUUGCUUCUUAUUAAGUACUAGAAUUAACUUCUCCCAAUGAUAAUUUAUUAAGCAAACCAUAAUGAUCAUCUUACACUAAAGAACCAACCCAUCUUCAAAACACAAGAAUUUAGUACAAAUAAUUAUCCCAAUAAAGUUUAACGAAAAAGAAAAGAGAUAUUUUUAUUAUUUCUUUUACUUUCUUAGUGGCUCUGCUACUACCUAUAGUCCAUUCUUAUUCAACAUACAGAUCUUUUAUAUUAUAUGCAAAUUAAAAUAUAUUCUAAAAAGUGUAUCCAACUGGUUAACAUAUUAUUUCUAUAUAAUAAUCAAUUUUAUCAAAUAAAAAGGAGUUUUGGUCAUUCAUUUGGCUCCGUUGCCACUGUUGUACGCUACAAAAGCUUUUGUCUUUGCUGACUCAGUUACUGUAAAAUGUCGUUCAGCCCCUUAUACUCUAUUUUAUUUAUAAGAAUUAUAAAAAUUUCUAAUUACCUACACUUUCAAAAUUCAAUUUAUCUCCUUACAAUCUUUUUCAUUUACUUUUUUUUGUAAGUAUUAAAAAGUUUCUAUUUACAACCACGACAUAGUAAUCAUCAUAACACACGAAUAUUUAUAAAAAUAUAAAAAUAUCACUAAAUUAAUACUAAAAAAUGUUUUCCUCUCUUGAGGAAUUAUGGUAUCUCAUUUUCGAUCACUCAUUAUCAACAAAAUUUUCAAAGAUAUGAUCAUUCAUCUUCUUUAUAAUAUCAUCUUAUAAUAAUUAAUACUUUCAUGAUUAAAAAAAUUAACAAAAUAAAGAUAAAUUCCCUUUGAAUCCAUCCCUCUCUACUAUCAUUUUCUCUUCAUUAGCAACAUUUAUCAAUAAUUGAAGCCACCAUCAGACUCAUCACACAGAGAGAGUGAGAGAGGGGAAGAAGAAACGGGAAAAAAAAAUAUAUGAGACAUUUACAAUUUUAUAGUGUGUUUAUUCAACGAGAUUCAUAUAUAGUUGCUAAGGGGUUUCAUUAGACACAGAGAGUUUAUUACACUGAAACUUUUAAUCCAGUAGUUAAGGCCUCAACAAUCAGAGUUAUUCUUAGCCUAGCAGUACUUAACAAGUGGAUAAUCAGACAAGUGGAUAUUAAUAAUGCCUUAAUGGCAUUUCAGUUGAAGAAGUUUACAUGGCACAACCUGAGGGAUUUGUGGAUCCUACUAAACCCCAACACAUCUGCAAAUUAAAAAGGACUAUAUAUGGCUUGAAGCAAGCUCUCAGGGCUUGGUUUGAUAGAUUCAAAGCUGCAAUGAUUACUCAAUGACAUUUUCAACACUCAAAAUCAGAUAAAAAAUAUCAAAAUAUUUAUAUCAUUAAACUUUUAGGCCUAAUUAACUAAUUAAAGUUCUAAAUUUUUAUUUAGGACAUUAAAAAGACCGGAUAGAUUCUAUUAGCCCAAAAAUUUUAUUUUAAUUUUAAUAUUCAUUAAAUAUUUUAAACUUAAAUCUAUUUUUUAUUUAUUUUUAGAUGUUAGAAUUGCCCACAGCGAAUCACAAUUUUAAUAUCUAAUCUAAUUUAAUCUAAUAUUUGCUCUUGAUUUGCUCUUACUUAACUAUUGUGUUGUAAAGGGAAUAGUCCACAUUUAUAAAGUGCCCACGCCACCCUUGAAAAAGUUAAUUUUGAAUCUAAAUUUGAUUUUAUUUGUAACAAUUUUGUAUUAGACUAUUAAUUUAUUUAUGAUAGUUUGUAAAAGAAGUUUGUAUCCCUUGCAUGCUGCGUUACUUACUAAUUUAAUGUAUGUGACUUUUGUAAUGGAUAUUAAUGCAAGAUAUUUUUCGAACUUUACUUUUAUUUAAAUUUUAUUUUAAUAUGAUUAACUCAAAUCGAAAAUAAAAAAAUGUAUUAAUUAUUCGGGGAUCGGGGACCCUCGGGGAUCCCCUAUUAUUAUUCGGGGAGGAGAUAGAGAUUCUCUUAAGUAAUUCUGACAGGGACGGGAAGGGGAUGAGGACAUACACAAAAUAUUGGGAAUGGUUACGGGGAGAUUGGUCCCCUCCCCUCCCCUCCCCAUUGCCAUCCCUAACUCCCUGACUAAAUAAUUUGGGAAUAUAAGGAUGCAAUAAGAGUUGAGUGGUCUUUAUUCCCAUAGCAUUAUUUUUUUCUCGCUUCAUCCGUGCUCUAUUCAAUCUUUAUGUGCCGCUUGUGUUAUGUUCCUGCAUAUCUAAUUACCUUUAGCUGCUUGUGUUAUGUUUACUUGUUUUGAUCUUAAUCUUUAAUCACUUAGCCUGAAUAAGAAAUAAUUUUUUAUAUUUGCUCUGCAAUGAUGUUAUUCGGUGUUAAUAGCUUCGUUUUGUUACUCUUUUCCGCACAGAUUCUUGAUCUCAACAGAACUUUUAUUUUGAAUAUUCUGCAUAAGGACAAUCUCAUUUAAUACCAUCAGUGAUUUUUCAUUUUUUUUCUCUUUAGUUUUAAUAUGUUUGAUAACUGUAUGGCUAAGCAAUCUAUGCAAUUUUAUCUUGUCGUAUGUUUGAGCUCAUUUUUUGUUGCAAUUCUGAAUAUUUGGUAUGAAUUAUGUGAUACCGGACAAUACUGUUAACUUGUUCAUUUCUUAAUUUUAAUAUCUUGUCAAAGUCACUAAUAGCAUUUCAUCAUGCUAUGAGUUAAACAUGGAACAAAUGACGACAUGCAGUUGUGGAAUGUGGUAGAUCUCUGGAAUUCUAUGUCCUUAUGCUUGUAGGGCAACACAAUACAUUAGUUAAAACAUUAAAGACUAUGAUGUCCGCAGAAAAUUAUAUGUCAACAUAUGCACCAGGCAUGAUGAAAUUAGCCAAAGACAGUGCUUGGAAACAAUUAACUAACUUUUGGCAUUAGGCGUAUCAAGUUCAAUUCGGUAUUUCACAAAACUUAAACUAACUUAUUCCUAAUUAUAGUGGACACAAUUAACUAACUUUGGCAACUGUUCUGAAGAGGAUGACUUCUUCAGGAUGACAUCAACUACCAGCGAUGAUACUAUCAGUAAGCUGCUUCUGCUAUCUAUUAAAUAUUACUGCUAAACGUAAUAUUGACAAUUUGUCUGUGUGCAGGCCUGUGAUAACCACUUGGAUCGGAUAAAGGACUGGGACAUCAACAAUUUGCCCAGAAACCAAUAAGAUAUCAUUGUAAUGUUUAAUUAUACAUGUAUUAGUUUCUCUUUGGAUGGUGCUCUUUGUUAUGCAAAAGUAUGGCGACUAUGUUUCAACCAGUGUAUCUAUUAUAUACACUAACUAUGAAUUACUAGAAAUUUUAUUACAUUAAUCAUUUUUAGAUAGCCACUCAUCUCAAACGAAACAAACUGGUCAGAGACACUUGACCCAACAUGCUUGUGAUCGACCUUAGAAUAAAUUUUUCUCACUCAAUAUAGACAACUUCUGUGAGGUUAAUAUUUCUUCAAAUGUCAAGAAAAGCAUUGGCCACAUAAAUGCAUACACAUGUUUUUGUUGGGAAGUUAAGCAGACGGGAACAACAUUGGACUAUAUACUCAUACACCAAACUUUAAUAAACUAAUAAAUAUAAUUUAAUAAUAAUUUAUUUCUCCUCGCUUAUGUGAGAAAAAGUCAAACCACAUAACGUAUUUAUAUUUUGUUAAGAAAUUUUACUGAUUGAACUAAUUAACACUAAUUUCUUAUCUCUCUUAACCAACGGAUAUUUUGAAGAUAGUUUUUUAUUUUCUAUAUUUUAUGUACUAAAUGAUUUUAAACCUCUAUCACGUCAUGAAUAAAUUGGAGUUUAGGUUGCUUAAAAUAAUAAUAAUAAUAAUAAUAAUAAUAAUAAUAAUAAUAAUUAAUAAAUGUAUUGAUGGAUUUCAUAAUCAUCCCACUUAGGGGUGGGCACGGUUCGGUUCGGUUCGAAAUUAAGUAGAACCGAUUUAAAUCGGUUAUUUUAUAAAAAGAACCGAAUAAGAACCAAACUCAAUAAGAACCAAACUCAAUAAGAACCGAACUCAAACGGUUCUUUUCGGAUCGGUUCGGUUCGGUUCGGUUUUUUCGGUUCUGGGUCUAUUGGGCCUAUUUUGAAUUUUUAAAUUUUUAGCCCAUUGGGCCUCAUAAAUGUAAUAAUUUUUUUCAACAAUUAAUUUAUCCUAAUUUUAUUACAAAUAUUAACAAUAAAUACAAAGUAUUCAAAACACAUUUUAUCACUAAUAUCUUACUAAUUAUUAAUAAGAUACUCCCAAAAUAUGAAAUAUUAAAAUUUCAAAAUACAUAACCAAACUCCAAUACUCCAUCUAUAUAAACAUAAUCAUAAUGUUAUAAAGAGAAAUAACACAUGUUUGAUUUGAAUAAAAUCAUGUUUGAUUUGAAUAAAAUUAUUAACACAUGUUUGAUUUGAAUAAAAUAAAAAAAUAAUUCGGUUCUUCGGUUCGGUUUUUUGGUUCAGCUAAGUGAACCGAAUACCGAACCGACAUUUCAGUUUUUUUUACAAACGGUAUAUUCGGUUUUUUUAAAAAAUAAAAACCGAACCGAAUUAAAAAAAACCGUCGGUUCGGUUUUUUUUAACAUUACGGUUUUUUUGCCCACCCCUAAUCUCACUCCUACGCCUCAAGACAAACAAGCUCACACUUCACGGAUCAGUCAAAGGAUCGGCUUUCAAGUCGUUGAAUUCACGGUGGUCAAACUAACGGAAAAACUAACGUGACGUCAAUCAGAUACGGUUUAUAAUAUAUGUAUCCUCAAUCAACGCAAAAAGUUUGAUCUGAAAAACCCUCUGCCUAAAACGCGUUUUCAGAAACGCGGUUUUGUUUUUCAAGUGGUUCCCAGAGCAUCCAUGCCAUGCUCUGUAUCAAUCAUUUCGUGCAUGUUUGGAGUUUGGCACGGCCAUUUUUACUGACUUUGUUAAGAAGUACUUAGAAGCUCAUUAGGAAAUGAUAACAAACGAAGCCUUGCGCUUUUACAUGUUACAUGCAUUAUUGGUAAGACGGUUGAUGAGUUACGUUAUAUGAACCCACAAUUAGUCGCCCAAUAGCCACCAUAUAUUAAAUAAUCAGUCAAAUUUUGAAUUGGGUAGUUAACUAAUUUCGAAUUACCGUAAGUCAUAAAUAAUGCAGGUUAGUAAGACCCGAGCCUAGGCAAAUUAAGGUCGUUAUCGCCUCUAAAUCAAGGCUGCAUAACCCAAAGUUAAGGGCACAUGUUCGAGUCCCAACUCCACAGUGUUGGAACUCUAUUAUAGUAUUAUUCCCUUUCACAUUAAAAGGAUAGGAUGGUUAUUUCUCUUACAUAUGUAGAUAGAUCAAAUAUAUCUUCUAAAUAAUAAUAGAUUUAUCAUUUUAAAGAGUUGUUUUAGAUAUGUGGAUAGAUCAAAUAAUAGACACCCUUUCCAUGAAAGGAGACUCAUUGAUUAUUGUUAAAAAAAAAAUUCGUUGAUGUUAUUAGAGAACUUGCAAUUUUUUUAUAACACUAAAUUUUUUAAUUUUUUAAGAUUUUUCUAUGAAUAGCAUGAAUUUUUUAUAGCAUUGGUAAUGAGGAUAUUAUGGACCUUUAGAUUUAAAUAUUUUAAUCUUCGCCAUUCAUUCAAUUUAGUGGAUAAAUAACUAAUUACUUAAUUUUUCAAGUUGCAUGUAGUAUAUAAGUUUAUGUAUGUAAUUCUAUUUUUAAUAAAUAAAUAAAUAAAUUUUAAAUCACUAACAAAAAAAAAUGCAAAUAUGUAUGUUAGUUUAGACGUGUACAUAAUAGAUAUGAAUUGAUAUUAUUUAAUUAUUGCACAAGACAUGCUAAUAAUGAUCUCUUUUGUCAAUAAUAAUCAGGAGAAUAAAAUGUUAAUUUCUUGAUUUUACUGGAUGGCUAAGAUCGAGUUAAGUCAAUUUUCGUUAUAUUUGUUAAUCUAAUAAUAUGUUGGCGAAAAAGAGGGAAUAUGAUUACAAACUAAGAUUGAGUUAAUUUUUUUAAUUCAGUCUUUAAAAAAUUGUACAACUGGUUUGAUAAUUGGUUAAUGAAAUUUUAAAUAACUAAAAUCAAGAUAUUAUUUUAACUAUAACUUCUAAUUUUGUACCAAACGUUGAUGAUCUUGAUGGGCGCAGAGGAUAGUUGGGUACGGUGCUGUAGUGGGCAACUAUGAGGAUAAAGUGAUGGUGACUGGAAUUGACAUAGGGGUAUACUUGGAUGAUGUUGAUUAUAGUGCGGCUGAGGCUUUAUGCUUUAGCUUAGAGUUGCUUAUCAAGAAUCUAUUAAUAACACAUUAUACUCAUACACCAAAGUUUAAUCUGAAUGAAUCAAGUAAUUCUAUGUUAAUAAAAGUUUUUAGACUUACGAUGAGGGUCUAGUUUAUAUAAAUGCAAAUAACACUGAAAUCUAAUAAUCCUUUACAAAUAAAUAUGAUUUAUUCAAUUAUCGCAAACAAUUGUUUUAUCAGAGUUAAUUACAUUAUUGCUAAACUUGUAUAAGCUUUCCUGUUUCAAGCAUAUCUACUUAAUUACAUUAUUCAUCGACAAUGUUACUUUGCUAGUAGAAGUUUUAUGUUUUCAUACCUUAAUCACUAUUUAACGCUUCGUUUUCCAAUAGUUCUAAUUCUUCAAAUUUUGGUUUUAUUCUUCCAUAAUUAUAAAUUGAUACUGAUUCGCACGACUCAAAUUAAAGUGGUUAAUUACUCUAAAAGUAUAAAUUUGGCAGUCAAUAAUUACUUAAAAAUAAUUGCAAAAAAAUUAAUAAGGAAUAGUAUAAAUUUAAAAACCGCUAAAGUUACGAGAUCCAUGCUUGAUAUUUAAAUCAUGGUCAUAAUACUCUUUCUCUCUCUCUCUCUCUCUCACACACACACACACAUAUAUAUAUAACCACUUUCAAUAUUAUGUUACUUAGUUCUUAAUUAACCGCUCUAUAAAUAAAUAUGAGAAUUAAGUACAUAUUAUGCUACAACCUUAUUGGAGUGUUCCCACUACCAUAUUAGUAGUCAACAUUAGGUCUAAACACCCACAUAAUAUUUUUGGUGAACUUGCAACCACAACCUUUAAAUUAGGGGUGGGCACGGUUCGGUUCGGUUCGAAAUUAAGUAGAACCGAUUUAAAUCGGUUAUUUUAUAAAAAGAACCGAAUAAGAACCAAACUCAAUAAGAACCGAACUCAAACGGUUCUUUUCGGAUCGGUUCGGUUCGGUUCGGUUUUUUCGGUUCUGGGUCUAUUGGGCCUAUUUUGAAUUUUUAAAUUUUUAGCCCAUUGGGCCUCAUAAAUGUAAUAAUUUUUUUCAACAAUUAAUUUAUCCUAAUUUUAUUACAAAUAUUAACAAUAAAUACAAAGUAUUCAAAACACAUUUUAUCACUAAUAUCUUACUAAUUAUUAAUAAGAUACUCCCAAAAUAUGAAAUAUUAAAAUUUCAAAAUACAUAACCAAACUCCAAUACUCCAUCUAUAUAAACAUAAUCAUAAUGUUAUAAAGAGAAAUAACACAUGUUUGAUUUGAAUAAAAUCAUGUUUGAUUUGAAUAAAAUUAUUAACACAUGUUUGAUUUGAAUAAAAUAAAAAAAUAAUUCGGUUCUUCGGUUCGGUUUUUUGGUUCAGCUAAGUGAACCGAAUACCGAACCGACAUUUCAGUUUUUUUUACAAACGGUAUAUUCGGUUUUUUUAAAAAAUAAAAACCGAACCGAAUUAAAAAAAACCGUCGGUUCGGUUUUUUUAACAUUACGGUUUUUUUGCCCACCCCUAAUCUCACUCCUACGCCUCAAGACAAACAAGCUCACACUUCACGGAUCAGUCAAAGGAUCGGCUUUCAAGUCGUUGAAUUCACGGUGGUCAAACUAACGGAAAAACUAACGUGACGUCAAUCAGAUACGGUUUAUAAUAUAUGUAUCCUCAAUCAACGCAAAAAGUUUGAUCUGAAAAACCCUCUGCCUAAAACGCGUUUUCAGAAACGCGGUUUUGUUUUUCAAGUGGUUCCCAGAGCAUCCAUGCCAUGCUCUGUAUCAAUCAUUUCGUGCAUGUUUGGAGUUUGGCACGGCCAUUUUUACUGACUUUGUUAAGAAGUACUUAGAAGCUCAUUAGGAAAUGAUAACAAACGAAGCCUUGCGCUUUUACAUGUUACAUGCAUUAUUGGUAAGACGGUUGAUGAGUUACGUUAUAUGAACCCACAAUUAGUCGCCCAAUAGCCACCAUAUAUUAAAUAAUCAGUCAAAUUUUGAAUUGGGUAGUUAACUAAUUUCGAAUUACCGUAAGUCAUAAAUAAUGCAGGUUAGUAAGACCCGAGCCUAGGCAAAUUAAGGUCGUUAUCGCCUCUAAAUCAAGGCUGCAUAACCCAAAGUUAAGGGCACAUGUUCGAGUCCCAACUCCACAGUGUUGGAACUCUAUUAUAGUAUUAUUCCCUUUCACAUUAAAAGGAUAGGAUGGUUAUUUCUCUUACAUAUGUAGAUAGAUCAAAUAUAUCUUCUAAAUAAUAAUAGAUUUAUCAUUUUAAAGAGUUGUUUUAGAUAUGUGGAUAGAUCAAAUAAUAGACACCCUUUCCAUGAAAGGAGACUCAUUGAUUAUUGUUAAAAAAAAAAUUCGUUGAUGUUAUUAGAGAACUUGCAAUUUUUUUAUAACACUAAAUUUUUUAAUUUUUUAAGAUUUUUCUAUGAAUAGCAUGAAUUUUUUAUAGCAUUGGUAAUGAGGAUAUUAUGGACCUUUAGAUUUAAAUAUUUUAAUCUUCGCCAUUCAUUCAAUUUAGUGGAUAAAUAACUAAUUACUUAAUUUUUCAAGUUGCAUGUAGUAUAUAAGUUUAUGUAUGUAAUUCUAUUUUUAAUAAUGACAAUUGAUUGUGUUAGCAUUUUGGUCAAAAAGGUGGACCCCCCCAAAAACAAACAAAAAAAAUUUAUGAUAAUAAUUAACAUUGAUAAAUAAAAAUAUUAAUAAUGGGUGUGUUAGCAUUUUGGUCCAAAGCCGAUUUGGCCUUGACAUUAAUUGGAAUUUUGGAUCUAUAAUAUGAUUUUCACCGAAAAGAUAAUUUUGCCGCUAAUUAUUUGGGUAGUCAGAUAAUAAUAACAAAAAAAUGUUAUCUCGAUCUCACCUAUAACUUGAGGAGAUAAUAAUGAUAGUCUUUCAUAAUACUCUACUGUUUAGUUUCUCUUCUUCAUUUUUUUCCCCUUUGAAGUCUUUCAACAAAAAUGGGUGGCAUCAUCUCAACCUUCUUCUCAGCGGACACAAUUCGUCCAAUUUUAUUUUACGUCGGUGGACGAGCAAAGUAUAUAUGGGGUCUUAAAGGUAAUCUCGAUGACUUGCAAACUGAAACGGAGAACUUGAUUGCGAAAAAACUAGAUCUACUGAAUAAGGUUAGGCUUGCCGAACAACAACAGCCUCGUGCCCAACGGACGAGCACGGUGAAACUCUGGUUCGAAAGGGUGGAUCGAAGUGUAACUCUUGUUGAGGGGCUGCAACAAGAAAGAGAUCAAGAGAUUGACAGAUUGUGUCUUGGAGGCUUCUGUUCCAAGGACUUGAUUUCAAGCUACGACUUCGGCAAAAAGGUGGAGAAGUUGAAGGAAGAAGUAAUCAAAUUGAGGGAAAAAGGAGAAGCAAUGAAAGAAGUUUAUGAGGGGUUACCAGAAGGUGCAGCGGUUGCAAUAGCUGUUGACCGAACAAUUGUUGGUCAAGAAUCAAUACUUGACCAAGUUUGGAGAUGCAUCACUGAUCAAAAAAAGAAUAAUGGAAUUAUUGGCUUAUAUGGUAUGGGGGGCAUCGGCAAAACUACUCUGUUAAAACAAGUCAAUAACAAAUUCUGCAGUGAGGAGCAUGAUUUUGAUGUCGUUAUCUGGUCGGUUGUAUCUAGAGAGCCAAACUUGAAGCAGAUUCAAGAGGAUAUUGGGAAAAGGAUAGGCUUCUCAACAGAUUCAUGGCAGAGAAAAAGGUUUGAAGAAAGGGCUUCAGACAUCACCAACACUUUAAAGCAUAAGAAGUUUGUAUUGUUAUUGGAUGAUAUAUGGGAGUCCGAAAUUGAUUUAACCAAAUUGGGCGUCCCUCUUCAGACACUAGAUUCUGGGUCCAGAAUAGUCUUCACAACUCGUUUUGAGGGUACUUGUGGUAAAAUGGGAGCCCAUAAGAAUCGGUACAAAGUGUUUUGUUUGGGAGAUGACGAUGCCUGGAAAUUAUUUGAGGGGGUGGUCGGGAGAUACGUUCUUAACAAGCAUCCCGACAUUCCGAAGUUAGCCGAGGAUGUGGCACGUCAGUGUCAUGGUUUGCCGCUAGCACUCAAAACAGUAGGUAAUGCCAUGGCGAGCAAAGUGUACCCUGAAGAAUGGAAAGAAGCAAUUGAGAUCCUAAGCGCAUCAGCUUCUAAAUUCGAAGAUAUGGAGAAAAAGGUGCUUUCGAGCUUAAAGUUCAGCUAUGAUAGUUUGCCGAAAGAUGAACUUCGAUCUUGUCUCCUGUACUGUUGCUUAUUUCCCGAAGACUCUGAAAUUCUAAAAACCGAGUUGAUAGAGUAUUGGAAAAGUGAAGGAUUUGUGCAUUCUAGCAGCGGGUGGGGGGUUCUUGGUGCUCUCGUUCGUGCAUGCUUAUUGGAGGAAGCAGGUGAUCGUGUAAAAAUGCACGAUAUGAUCCGUGACAUGGCAUUAUGGAUAGCAAAUGAAGUAGAGGAGGAGGAGGAGAACUUUUUGGUUCGUGCAGGAGUUGGAUUAACUGACGCCCCAAAGAUUGAAGAAUGGGAAGGGGUCAAAAGGAUAUCCUUGAUGCAGAACAAAAUUCAAAGUCUACCACAAAUUCCCUCUUGUCCGCGUCUGCAAACAUUGCUUCUGGCGAGUAAUCGUAUUAAGGAGAUCACUGAGAGUUUCUUUCAAUCUUUGCCUUCACUUAGAGUUUUGAGUCUAAGAAGAAAUCGUUCCCUGACUGAACUUCCUGUGGGGAUUUCAAGUCUGGUUUCAUUACACCAUCUUGAUAUGUCUUCUACUAAAGUACGUGGAUUGCCGCAAGAGCUCAAGGCAUUGGUGAAUCUGAGAUAUUUGAACUUGGAGUAUACACGUGGAAUGUCUAGAAUUCCACAGCAAUUAAUAUCAAGCUUUUCAAAGUUACAGGUACUCAGGAUGCUGCGUUGCGGUCGACGUUACCAGCCAAUAGUGGAAGAAGGCAACGUUCUAUCUGCUGAUGCUGAAUCAUUGAUGAAGGAAAUCCACUGUUUGGAACAAUUAAAUCUCAUCACCUUGUCCUUACAUGGUUCGCGUGGUGUUGAAAACUUUCUGAAAUUCCCAAAGCUGCAGAAUAUCACUCAAGCUCUGUCCAUCGAAGACUGCAACAGUCUACCGCUCAAUUUGUUACAUCUAGCAAACAUGGAGCAUCUUGAGGAGUUAUAUAUCGAGGAUAGUAAUUUGGAAGACUGGAAUGUCGACUGCGCGGGAGAGGUACAAAAAAUGCGUAAACUUCACUCGGUUCUCAUACGGAAUUGCUCAAAUGUGAAGGACUUGACGUGGCUUGUUUUUGUUCCAAAUCUCAAGUGGCUGCGAAUAGUUGGUUGUGAUGACAUGGAAGAAAUAAUCAGUGUUGAAAAAUUUGAAAAAUUGAGUGAAGUUUCAGAGAUGAUGGGAGAGCUUAACUUGUUCUCAGAACUCGAACUUCUGGUAAUAAGAAAUGCAAGUAAUUUGGAGCGCAUCUACCGCGAUCCCUUGCCCUUUCCACAGCUGAACCGAAUUAGCAUAUUGAAAUGCCCAAAGUUGAAGAAGCUCCCACUCAAUUCCAGCAGCGCAAAGGGACGUAAAAUUGCCCUUGCGGGACAGAAAGAAUGGUGGGAAGAGCUACAAUGGGAGGAUCAAGCCACUCAAAAUGCUUUCUCUCCCUGUUUCCGACCUAUUGAAGAAUAAAGUGCGAUAAGGCACAAAAGUGUGAAUAAAAUUUCUGCGCGUGCUUAAUGAUUAUCUUGUCUAUCUAUUUCAUUUAAUUUAAAAGUUUUCUACGGAGUUGCAUGUGUGUCACUUGUCAUUCUUCUGUACUGCUGUUUCCUAUUUCCAGUUAAUAAAAUUUUUUUGUUCUUAGAGUUAGAAAUGCUUUACUUGUAAGGGAGAUUCACAAUUUUCCCAUAUUAUGAUUAAUAUAUUCUUUUUACUUUCCUACUAUUUUGCAUAAUUUUUUAAUAUUAUUUUUAUUUCUAAAUAUAUUUUUAUUCAUAUUUAUUAUAAAUUAAAUAAAUGUAUGAAUAGAAAUAAAAAUAAAAAUAAAAAUUAAGUAUUAAAACAAGAAAUAUAUAUUAUGAUUUGAAUAAAAAAUAAAUAUUUUUUUGUACUUAGAAUGCCAUUUGUCGUGAGCACCUGAAUCCCCAAAGGACUCCCAGCUUCAAGUGGCUUUGACUUAGCUUGCUUUAGCUCCAUUGCACAUACUCACUCACAUGGAGGAAAUGAACAGAACAAGAAACCUCAUCAUGCCGAAUAUGAUAGAUAUGACAAGGCAUUACAUUGUAGGAAGCUCCCGAUUUCUCUAAAAAACUCUGCAGGUUCUCCGCAAUCAAGGCGUGCUCCAUCUUUAACAGAUCACUUCUACCAUUAAGAGAAGGAAGAGAGUUCCUCUCGUGUGACAGUAAAUCCUUACUUAACACAGGAUUGGAGCCAACCAAGAAGGGAAGGCAAUUUCGUUAGAUUAAGAAUCGAAUCACCAUCCAAUAUAGUAGCAUUUGAACCAGAACUCUUGUUAAAUUCUUGAAAUCUCCUGCUUUCAUCAGUCUGUAAGAGAAAUGAAGAUGAGAAUAAUAGCCAGAACCGGAUUAAAUUCAAUCUGGUCUUUUGAAGACUUCUAUAACAACUAAGAGAACCCAGUGUACCGCCUACAGAUACUGUCAGGCUUCUAUCAAAUAUCCCAAACACCAAAAACCAACCAAAUUAAGCUAACAAACCUGCAUGAAUAUCUAAAUUUCAAUGCAUAUGAAACAAACUCCAUGUUCAAUCCACCAAAACUAGCAAAUUUCAAACUUUAUCACUCAUCAUUCUCUCUCUGUCAGCUGUACGAGGCUAUGAGAUCAUGUUAUAAUGUUCAUAUUGAUGCUGAAUGUUUUGCCAGCUUGUCUGAAUUCCAUAAGAGAAUGCAAUGUGCACAUUAUUGUGCCUUGCCCACCAGUAGAUUCUAAACCACAAAAUCAUUCUGUGAAGUAGCUGACGUUUCGCACAUUCUUAUCCCUUACCAUCAAUAUUCUUCUCCUCAAGCUUAGAUCAUGGAAAUUUGAGUGAUAACACGAUCUAAACUUUAGGGGCAUAAAGUAACAUAGAAGCAACAUGGGAUGUUUUAAAAUCUAUUAUAAUUUGCUUAGGCCCCUGAAUAAAAUUAAAACUUGAAAUGAAAUAAAGUAGCAAAAUAAAGAUUGGAGGUCGCAUGCUUGAUAUUUGAUGCUGUCAAAAUUAAUUUGCAGUGCUGAAAUUGCUGCUCCAAUAAAUUUUUCAAUGGGAUUUCCAUAUUUACAACAAAUUUUCAGUAUUGAAACAGGAUUAAAAUCAUAAAGUGUCUUUUAAACAGCAGAGGCAACAAGAUCCUACAGAAAAAGAAGGCAAAAAGUAGUUACAAGCUACAGAAACGCAAAUAUUCUACUGGCCAACUCCCACUAAAUUCGAAGCGAUUCUAAAAUCUCAGCUUGUACUACUACAUCAUUCCUUCUAUGUAGCCCAACUGUACUUCACCCAGAAAUCACAUUUCUUCAUCAGAGAUAAUUUUACAUCAUUCCUUAUCAUUAGGCAUAAGGCUCCCAAUGUUCUUGGAGGAAUUAUGAUGAAUAUGAGGGUUUCAAAAAAGAAAAAAAAAUAUUAUGACAACCUCUAGGCGGAGGAAAUCAGUUUUCUAGGAAUUCGUUAGAUUGGUGAAGUUAUAGAACCUUAGCAAUUUGCUGUAGUUUGGAAUGUUUUUGCCUUUCAUUAUAGCAUUUGCAAAGGCUCAAGGAUAUAGAAGAACCUUGGCUACAAAUUCAGGGAAGAUUUCACUUAUAAUGAGAAAUAAUCACCAUUAUUCUAUACAAUGAGAAAACAGUUAUGGAAGAAAUAGAAAGAAUUACCCGAAACGAAGGAUUUGGAAGACAAUGAGACAAAAGUAUAAAGAAGAAGAAAUUGGAGAUAUAAUGGCUGCCAAUUUCUUUGAUGAACCCAUCAAAAACGGCUUGAAAAUUAAAGAAAUUGUCAAAUGCUGUAACGGAGGAAUUGAAACUGUAAAAGAUGCAAGUUAAUUCAUGGGGCUGGCCAUCUUGAUUGAUUGAACACCUACACGUGACAAGUGUGCGAUAAUCGUUAUAUCUUCAAUUUUAGGCAGUUUUUCAUUUCUUUUAUUUUAAUAGUAAAAAAAUACGCCAUUUUAGAUACAAAUGCCCCUGACUAGCCCUUUUGUAAGUUACAUUGUUUGGUGCGAUAGUCCCGCACGUGCUUGACAUUUGCCGAAUAUCUUAUGCGCAUUUUUUUUCCCCUCUAACUCAUUGUGUAUGCUCAUCUUUAUGUGCGUUAUUACCUAAACUUAUAUACCAAUCAAAAUAAAUCAUAAAGUAUCAAACGCUUUUAAAUGAUUUUUAAUAUUAAAGAACUCACUUUAAUGAUGUUUAAUUGGUAGUAGCCCUUUAUAGUCUUUAAACCUUUAGCAGUGCAAAGUCACAAGCUUUGUCCAGAAUCUAAUGGCGUAGAUUAUAGGCGAUGGGUGCCAUCACCUGGGCAACGACGUACAUCGCUUGGGCGACAAGCCAAUUUACUAGGCUCAUCGCAAACAGCCUUCGUCGCCUGGGCGAUGGCCAAAUCCAUCCAAUAAACUUUCAGCUCAUGUUUGAUAGCCUAAAAAAAGUAGUUAUGGUGACCAUCACACAUCACAUUUUACUGACAAGGUGUCUUAAUUUUCAUAGAAAAUUGUUCCUACUGAUUUUCCAAUCCUGGCCUAAUACUUGCAGAUUAUUAAACGAUUAUGGAAUGGCAGCAAACCGGCGCCGCGGAGGGGGGCCGGCCCGGGGUUGUUGUGCUGAUUUGGGAGGGGUAAUAAACCCUCUGAGGCAAUUUAGCAAACAUAUUAUGUGCCAUGAUUUUAGACCAGUAAUUUUGUCAAUAAUAGCUAAUUCGCAAUCCCAUUACAAAUCUAAUAAUCUAUUGCAUACACGCUCUUGAUGACUUGGAUUCUCAAAAAAUAAUCAUUUUACGCCGCUGAGGCGCAGAAAAAUCAAUUGUGUUGUCCCUUUAUACUUUUUCAUUUGUUUUGCCCACGUCCAAAUAAAACAGAUUCUGGUAAAUGUGAUAAGGAAAUGUUUGUUUCAAUUUCCAACCCAUAUCUCAUAAAGAAUUUCUCACUCAAAUAAAUAAAUAUUAUCCGGUAAUGGUAUGACAUUUAUUUUGAAGUAAACACCGGCACGCCAUUUUCUCAUUUUUUUCAUUUUUUGAGGACACCAUUUUCUCAAUUGAAGAAUAUAUUUUGGCCAAAAUUCACAAUGUUCUCCACAUGAUUUAAAGCACACAGAAUUCACACUUGUCUCCACAUGAUUUAAAAGCACAAGGAAUUCUCUUGACCUUAAUUACGAAUCUUUUUAUGUUUAUUGAAAUCCAAUAUUGUUGACUCAUUGGUGUAGCCAGAAAAUCAUAUUAAUAUAGUAGAAUUUAUAAAUAACCAAAGAAAAAAGUUCACGCUCUUACUUUAUUACUUUUAUAAUUUUAUUAGUACAUCUACUAACAUGUCUUCAUAAAAUAUAGUUUUAAGAGGAUAUUUUUAUGGUUGUAGAUAUUUUUAUUUUUCUUCUUAAUAAUAGAUUUAAUUUUCAUCUUUCUAAUGUUAAGUUGCACAUUUGGACUAAAUCAGAUUAAAUUUCAAAUUAGAUGACAGGCCUUAUUUUAAUAGAUUCAAUUGGAUUUUGGACAUCUAAUUAAACAACUGGAUUAAUAAAUUGCAAAUGAAUGAGAUUUAUAUGUGAUUUUAAAAUAAAAUUUGAACUUAAAUCUAUGUAUUCAAUUAAUCCAACAAGACAAAUUUAUAAUUUCUACCACCUAAAUAAAAUAUGUUAUCAGAAACUUUUGGACCAAGUAGGGGCAGUUCAUCACUUCGUCGGCCUGCUACUACUUAUACUCCUUUCUCAUUCAACUUUCACAUCUUUUAUAUUAUAUACAAACUAGAUUUGUCAUGCAAGUAUUUGACAGAAGAAAUCUCAUUGGAAAUCGGACAACUUCAAGAAAUUCAUUUAUUGAAUUUGUCACAUAAUUGCUUGUCGGUUUAUAAACCAAAAAGGUAUUCCAAAUUAAAAGUGGUAGAGAGCCUAGACUUUUCUUACAACAGAUUAAGUGGUAGAAUUCCUCCUUAAUAGACUGAGCUCAAUUUUUUGAUCUGUCUUCAAGACGUCAUACAACAACUUGUCCAACCUGAUACCAAACAAAGAGCAGUUUGCCACAUUCAAUGAAGGCAGUUAUGGAGGAAAUCUGCAUCUUUGUGGUCCAACAGUUAAUAAGAGUUGCAACAAUGCGGAGGAAAUACCAGCAAUAGAAUCCAAUCGAGGAGAAGAUGAAGAUGAAUGUGCAAUUGAUAUGGUGUCAUUCAGUUGGAGUUUCGGUUCAUCAUAUGUCACAUUCAUCAUGGGGUUUUUCGCGAUACUUUGGAUAAACUCAUACUGGCGCAGAAUGUGGAUCUAUUACAAUCAUGUAUUCACUAGGCCAUACGCGUGAUGUGCUUUUCUGCUAAAACUAGUUCACAAAUGUGAUUUCAUUAAAAUUAGUCUAUACACAUCUUUCCCUUGGCUUUUGUUGGCUCCAACUCCGGACUUUUAUUCAUAUCAUUACUUUAUGUAGUUUCCCCAAAAGGCUUGUGAUGAUUAAUGCAGUUUAUAAAUUAUUACUACUACAAUAAUGAUAUAAUAAAUAAUUUUUUUUAAGUUGUAAAAGUGAGAAAUACUAAAGAGAUCUUUAUUACAUCAUUAAUGUUCGAUCAAGAAUUUCCUCAUCCGAGCUUGCAGUCUGUGGAGGAGACUGUAUCAAUGUCGAAAUUCUCCGGACCGGCACUAUUUGCUGUUUCUCCAUUGAAUAGUGCGUCUUACUACAACAAGGUGAAACACAGCCCAGUGUUCUGAUUGGGCCCAAUGCGAAAAACAUAAAACCCAAAUUUUUGUUGACUUUGGGCCUGCUCAAAUACCAUGCCCAAUUGUGUCUAGUUGUAACAAAAGCGGCGAGAUGUUCAUGCCCAAACCCGCAAGAUUGUUUUAAUAUUUAAAAUUUAACAUGAUUCUAGAAUUUUUGUUAAUAAAAAAUAAACCACCAAGAUUCUAGUGAAUAACAAAUGUAUACAUAUACACGUGCUGUGUAGACCGGGCCAAUUCUUGUGGAAUUCUCCAACAACCAUCCUGAUUCUUGAAUUGCCGCGAAAAUUCCGCAAGCGAUGAACCCUCUCUUACGCACCACUCAUUCUCUAUCACAAUGAUCAAAAUAAAGACGAGGACGGAGACUAUUAAUCACUGAGAGUGAUUUUCUCAAUAUUUGUCAAUCACUACUAAGAUUCAUUGUCAAUCAAUAAUAUCAAUUGACACAAAGAUUGAUUGUCUUUUUUUUUUUUUCGAGAAUAUCAGUGCUUGAAUACAUUAUUUGAUAUAUAUAAUUCAAUGUAAACUCAAUCAUACUCUUAAAUUAUUUUUAUAAAUUCUCAAUAUCAGUCUUUGAUUUUAAUUCGAGUUUUGAUUCAAAUUAAUGCAAGGAUACAAAAGGACUCAAGAGCUUCAUAUAUCAAUUCUAUGUUAUUAACUUAUUAUUUCGGUGUACACCACAAAUUUAUGAGUAAUUUAUUAAAAUGUCUAAACAUAUAUGAAAAAUAGUUGAUUAUUGAUUUUCACAAAUUUCAAUAUAUCAAACAUCCUAUCGAGUUAUUAAUUCCAAAGCACAUUAUUUAAGAAUCAAUGCUAGAAUAAAUUAUUUGAUAAUUUCAAACCCAAAUUUACGCUUAAAUUCUUUAAAUUAUCUCAAUCAACUUUUUUUUUUCUUAGCUGACCAUCUAUAUCAGCUAUUGGAAAAAAAAAUAGAAUUGACGACUACUUGUAUGUUGGCCUAAUUUGAAAGUCAAUCAACAUUUAUUUUCCAUGUAAUGUUAAUGAAGCAUUUCCCUCAUUGGUCCAACAUUGCAACAUGUGGAAUUUCAGGCUUACAAUUCCUCAUUAGUCAUUACAGAUACCGAAAUUGAUUGUCAGACAAUAUUGUCAUUUCAAUAUAUGCCACAAUUUUAUGAGUAAUUUACUAAAAUCUUUAAAUAUAUAAAAUUUGCAUGUGUGUAAUAAACCUGUAUUUAUAUAUAAAAUUUGCAUAUUUAAAUUGCACCUCUCCAUGCAUCAUAUAAAAUGUCAUUUCAAUGUGAUCCACACUUUUAUGAGUUAAUAACUAAAUAUUGUCACUAAAUUUUUCCUAAUUGUUGCAUGCAUUAGAUUUUUUUACGAAAAAAAAAACAUGCUACAUUAAGUGUAAAACAAUUGAGGAAAAGAUUAGAGAACACAAUGAGAAAAGAAAUUUUUUAUACAACCUUUUCAUCAAUAAAAAUCAUAUUCAUACUAAUCAAUUCUUCAUUCCUCUUGGUAUUAACAGACUCUCACAUCCUACAAAAUCUAACCCUUAUCAUCCAACUAUCUUUAUCAUUAUUUAACUCAUGAAGAAAAGAGUACUCCAUGAAGCACACAAUACUAAAAAUUCAAAUAAGUCAAAAAUAAAAAUGCAAGAAUAUUUCUAAGGAGGAUGUUGGUUAAAUAAUAAAAAACCCAAACAUAACAAAUCUUAAAUACUUAAUGUUUAUAGACUUUGAAGAAGUCAAAAGACAUUAAACAAAAUGUUGCAUAAUUAAAUAUGGAAUUAUGACAUUAAAAUUAGGCCCUAAUGGCAUUGGUGAGUGAAGAUGAAGGAACCUUCCUUCCUAUAUUAAUUAGUUGAUGUAUUUUAAGUCACUAAAGUUUAGUUGUUGGCUUAAUAAAAUAAAUGAAUGUUUCAAGACUUAUAAUUAAUUAUUAUUAAUGGUUGCAUAUUAUUGAAUUUAAAUAGAAAGAGGAAGAGACAUGUAAUUUUUUGUAAUCUAAUAAUUAUUUUCUAUUUUGUAAUGUAAUUAUUUUUUAAUCUCAACCAAUAUAUUAGAUAAUAGAGAAUAUAAAAAGAUAAGAAAUAAUGAUGUCACAAAUCUUAAAUACUUAAUGUUUACAGAGUUUGAAGAAGCGAAAAUGCACUAAACAUAAGGUUGCAUAAUUAAAUAUAGGAUUAUGGUAUUAAAAUUAGGCUCUAAUGGCAUUGUUGAGGGAAGAUGAAAGAAACUUUCUUCCUAUAUUAAUUAAUUGAUGUAUUUUAAGCCACUAAAGUUUAAUUGUUGGCAUAAUAAAAUAAAUGAAUGUUUUAAGACUUAUAAUUAAUUAUUAUUAAUGGUUACAUAUUAUUGAAUUUAAAUAGAAAGAGGAAGAGACAUGUAAUCUUUUGUAAUCUAAUAUUUAUUUUCUAUUUUUAAUAUUUUGUAAUGUAAUUAUUUUUUAAUCUCAACCAAUAUAUUAGAUAAUAGAGAAUAUAAGAAUAUGAGAAAUAAUGAUGUCACAUCACCUCUUGUAGUCCCAACUCUCUCUCUCUCUCUCUCUCUCUCUCUCUCUCUCUCUCUCUAUAUAUAUAUAUAUAUAUAUAUAUAUAUAUAUAUACAUACAUAUUAUUUUCUAAAAAGUAUUUCUAAUUGUUUAACGUUUUAUUUAUGAGUAUUUUUAAGAGUUUAAAAAAUAUGGGAAACAGAAUCAAUUUUAUCAAAUAAAAAGAAUAUUGGUCAUUUUCUUCAUAAAGAAAGUGUUAAAAUACUUUUGGUAUUUAAGAAGUAACAAUUUUUUUUUUUGUUUCAUAAAAAAAGCAUUCAAAAUUAUAUUAAAUAAAAUUAAAGAUUAACAAAACUGACGUCUGAAUUUCGUGUAAAUUAUAAUAAGUUUAUCUCCAGCAUGAAUGACAUUAUAGCGUGGCUAGCAUCAUCAAAAUUCUGGUAACAUUCCAAGGUUGUCAAACUAAUCAUCUCAAAAUGUCAUUAUACUUGUAGCGUGCGGGCAUCAUCUUUACUUUCAGCAUCAAAAUUCUUUUAUUUAAUACACUUUUAUUUUAUACAAUUUUUAUCAUAUUAAAAUCCUUUGUAAUUUAAGCUCUCUCGGACUUUUAAAAAUGUUAUGCCACCCCUUCUUUAGCAGUAAUAGUAUAUGAUUAUGAUUUAAUUAUUUUAUUUUUUAAUUUAUCAAACACCAAUCACUUAAAUUUAACCUAAGAAAAAAUUAGAACAUCAGAUAAUUUUAAUUGAUUCUUAUUAAGUACUAGAAUUAACUGCUCCCAAUGAUAAUUUAUUAAGCAAACCAUAGUGAUCAUCUUACACUAAAGAACCAACCCAUCUUCAAAACACAAGAAUUUAGUACAAAUAAUUAUCCCAAUAAAGUUUAACGAAAAAGGAAAGAGAUAUUUUUAUUAUUUCUUUUCCUUUCUUUCAUUUCAAUUUCUUGCCUCCUGAGCUCUUCUAAAAGCCAACCAAACCACUUAUUUAAAAAAAAAAAAAAGGAACCAGACAAAGCGCAAGAAAAAAAAUUAAAAAAUUCGCAGUCUACACACAUCCCAGCACCGUAUGCGUCCAAUAAUUCAUCUCCAAUAAUUGCCCCUAUAUGACCACCGGUUUGUACUUGCAUAUAUGUGAAACAGGAUAAAAUCACAAUGUGUCAUUUAAUUAGCAGAGGUAACAAGAUCCUACAGAAAAGGGUUUACAGGAAAAGAAAGGAAAAAAAAUUGUUACAACAUACAGAAACCCAAAUAUUCUACUGGCUAACCCCCAUUAAAAUUCGAAACCAUUCUUAAAUCUCAGCUUAUACUACUUCAUCAUUCCUUCUGUGUACCCCCAACUGAAUUUCUGGCAGAAAUCACAUUUCUUCGUUAGCCUCAACUCAUGCAUCUUUUACUUUUAAUCAAACAUACUUUUUUAUCUGCUGGGCUUUUUAACAAAGAAUAAUUUUCCUUAGAUCUUUUCUAAUAGACAAGAAAGCACAAAGCACAAAUAUCUAGGAAUGUUUUUGCCCUUCAUCAUAGCACUUGCAAAGGCUCCAGGGUAUAGAAGAACCUUGGCUACAAAUUCCUGGGAAGACUUCACUUAUAAUCAACUGGAAGGAUGUCACCUCUACGGGCGUUGUACAUUUUCCACUUCUACGUGGUAUCCUGCAGAAACAAACAAUAAAACACGUGUUAUACAAGUAUUUUUUAAGUAUGAAAUACAUCAAAAGCAUUUAUGAUGCCAUUAAGUUUAGUCAAUACAAUCUCUCAAGGCAGGACAAGAGAUUUGAGAUUCAAACUCCACCUACGUAGGAAAGGAAUGUCAAAAAGAAAUGCGGUUGGGAUAGGUUAUUACGUUUUAUUCUUUUUAUUACUAGAAUUGAAUAAUGCUGCCUUUGACAGUAAAAUAAACGUCAAGUGAUAAUUGAAUUAUAAAAAAGUGAGGUAAAUGGUGAGAAAUAAUCACCAUUAUAAUUUAUAAUAUAAAAUGAGGAAAUAAUUAUGGAAGAAAUGGAAAGAAUUACCUGAAAAGAGGGAUUUGGAAGACAAUGAGACAAAAAUAUAAGGAAGAAGAAAUCGAAGAUAUAAUGCCUGCCCAUUUCUUUGACGAACCUGUAAAAUGUCGUGAUUGAGGGAAUUAAACCGUAUGACGUUUAUGAAAUACUAACUAGGCAACCCAAGAGGGGGGUGAAUUGGGAUUUUAAAAAUUAUCCUAGGCAAACCACACAACAAUUUAAUCUAAUGCCUUAAUAAAUUCGAAAACAAUAAAUUCAAUAAAAGCACAAUAAUAAAUGAGUAAGGGAAGAGAAAGCAAACCCAAGGAUUUUUACGUGGUUCGGCAAUCCCCGCCUACGUCCACGCCUCCAAGCACACCGGGCUUGAGGAUUUUACUAAGCUAGCCUCCCAAGGCUUCAAACGCUUACAAUUGACUUCCAAGGUGUCAAUGGACCUUUACAACAAGAGAUUAUCCCCAAUCUCUUAACCCAAGUGUAUCCCAACACUUACAAUCUUUUAACUUGAUUUUACAAAAAAGAUUACAAAUGAAUCUCUCUCACACAAUGUGUUUGAUCACAAGUGAAAGCUCAAUGUGUGAAUGAAUGAGAUGAAUACAAAGAUUUAAAGCUCAAUGAAAGUUGUAUUCUCAAUAUUUUGCUCAAUGAUGAUCGUUGGAAUUCUUCUUGUUUGAAUUGGAUUGAGAUUAUUUAUAGUUGGAGCUGAAAAACUAGCCGUUAUAGACUGUCUGCUAGAAAACGGUUCGCCGUUAACCAUUAACGGUUAACCGUUUAGGCCGGUCAAAGUUACCGUUGGGCCAAUUUUCAAAUAAACGGUUAGCCGUUUAUUCUUACCCUUUCGCCGUUAAUUUCCAGAGACCUGCAAAACAAAUUUGGUUUAACCGUUCUUAUUAAACGGUUCAAGGUUAACAAUCUGGAAAUAAUCGGUUAACCGUUUUCAGUAAACGGUUCACCGUUAGUUUCCAGAAUCAUCAUUUUAAUAAUACUUUACAGAACAUGCUUUCUGGAAAUUAUCGGUUAGCCGUUUUAAAUAAACGGUUAGCCGUUUGCUACAGUGAUUGCUACAGUGAAAAUAUUUUCUAAAUUUAUAAUUUAACCCCAAAACUUUAUAAAACUUUAUUACGGCCCAAAACGUUAUGAAACUUUGCACAUAGGUCCAAUUUCAGAAUUUCUAAAUAAUACUUUGUUAAUCCCAAAACUUUUUGAAAUUAUGGUAUAGCCCAAAAUGUUAUGAUACUUUUCAAAUAAGUCCUUUACCAAGAUUUCAAGCAAUACUUGUUUAUUUCAAAGUUUUCAAAAUUCUUUCAAUUAAACCAUAAACUUUGAAAAACAACCAAUUUCAUAAAAUCAUUUUUCCAUUAAAUAUGAAACAUUUAUAAUGUGAAAAUAAUGAUUUAUUUAAAAAGAAUAAAAACAAUCAAUUUCAUAAAAUUAUUUUUCCAUUAAAUAUAAAACAUUUAUAAUGUGAAAAUAAUGAUUUAUUUAAAAAGAAUAUUAAAUAAUUUGAGCUUAAAAGAUUAAUCAUUCUUAAUCUUAUUUGUUAUCAUCAAAAUCAAUAUUAUGAAAAUAUAUAUGUUAACAGUUUACUUUGGCGGCCCCCAGUCUUGUCAAUCAGAGAAUAUGUUUUGGCCGAAAUUCACAAUUCUUACCACGUGAUUUAAUUAAAGCACACAGAAUUCGUAAUUUUCUCCAGACAAUUUAAAUUAAACCCGCACUCUUUAUGGACUCCACUUUUAAGAAGGAUAUUGCCCACCGAGCAAACUAACCAAAACUCUUUUCCCUUCUGCGUUCAUUCUCCAACUCGUUGUCACUUUGUUUUGCUCUUCCUCUCUAUAUGAUUUUUAAGAACUAUUAAAUGUUUGUUUGUUUCUUAAAAAAAAUGUUUGUUUUUUUUUGUAUUAGAUGAUUAUAAAUAUUUAUUUAAUUUUAUAUUUUUUUAAAUUUUUUAUUAUUGUUUCAUUAUUUUUUAGUAAAUUUUUAAAAAUUAAAUAAAUUAUUUUUAUUUCUGUUAAUAAAAAUUUAAACUUUAAAUUUUUGAGGGAUGAGAUUUAUUUUUUUUAAAUAUUAAAAUACUUAAAAUAUCUUUUAUUUAUGUAAUAAUUUUAUUUUAUUUUUUUGUUAAAUAAUUUUAAAAAAAAUUAUUUAUUAAAAUAAUUUUAUAAUUUUUAAUAAAAACUCUUAUUAUCAAUUAAAUAACUAAAAUUAUUUUCAUAAAAACUUUUAUAAUAAAAAUCCUACCACACCGCAGAGUCUGCACUUACCUGCGCGUACUGUUUAAAACCCCUCACCGGCUCUGCUCUCGCCACCAAUAUUAAGAAAGAUACUUUGUUGUGGUGGCAUUUUGGUAAAAAAUAUGGGCCCCCAAAAUAAUCAUAAUAAUUAAGGAUUUAGCUAUGUGGCAACGGGUACACCAUACACUUUUUUUUUUUUUUUUUUUGUGCUGCCACAGUUAGAUCCAACACAAAAGUAGUAUUAAGAGCAAGAUGUGUUUGUUUGUUUAUUAACAAUGCAAUCCCUAAUAUUUGUCAAAAAUUUUAAAAAGUUAAAGUUUAUAAAAUUUUGUGCCAAUAUUUUUUUCCCAAAUUCUCUUAGCACAAUUAAUUGUGUUAUGGUAUCCACUUUUGCAGGUUAUAAUCAAGAGAUCAGACAUGAUAGAUACAUAAAAAAUAAUAUAAAAUAAAAAAAUUUUGAAUUUUUGUUAAAGCUCUCAUUUCUAAUAAUUUGUUAAAAUAUUCUUUUACCUAAGAAAACAAACUCAUUGACAUAAUAAAAAGAGUUUUACUGAUAAAAUAAUAAUUAUUCAAUUAUUAGAAGUGCUACAGUUAGAUUUUUUUAAGUUGAAAAUGUAGAGAAGCAUGGAGGAGAAGAGGAGAAGAAGACACAUAAUAAAACAUAAAAAUUUUCAAUUUAUUUAUACCUGAAUUCCAUUGUAUGAUGAAUAGAUUGUAGGUACAAAAAUAUAUUUAUGUGAUUUUCUUUUAUAUAAAAAGUUCAAUUCAUUAUUGCUUAUAUGAUAUAGAGCAAAUUAAUCUUAAGGUAAUGAGAAAGUAGCUUCAAUGAGAAUGCCAAGCUUCUCUUAUUGAUUGUAAUUGAUUGAUUACAUAUUUAAUUAAAAAAAUUCAAAAGGACGUAGAGGUGAGGGUUUUGAAGAAAGAGAAAAAAGAAAUUACUUCAAUAAUUUGUAAAUACAGAAGAGAUUAGGGGGUCAAAAAAUACAAAAAGUAGGGUAUGGUGGACCCAUUGUACCGUAGCUCAACUCAAGCCAAUAAAUUAAUUGUUUUAUCCUAUAAAUAAAAAUUAAUGUUGUGUAUUUGCCUAUAACUUGAGGAGGUAAUAAAAGUCUUUCGUUAUACUCUACUGUUAGUUUCUCGCCUUUUAUUCCUCUGAAAUCUUUCAACAAAAAUGGGUGGCGUCAUCUCAACCUUCUUAUCAGCGGACACAAUUCGUCCAAUUUUAUCUUACGUUGGUGGAGAAGCUAAGUAUAUAUGGGGUCUAAAAGAUAAUCUUGAUGACUUGCAGACUCAGAAGGAGAAGUUGAUUGAGAAAAAAGAAGAUAUGCUGAAUGAGGUUGAGCUUGCUGAACAACGACCCCGAACCAGACGGACGAGAUCGGUGCAACGCUGGUUUGAAAGAGUGGAUCGAAGGGUAACUGAAGUUGAGAGGCUGCAACAAGAAAGAGAUCAAGAGAUUGACAGAUUGUGCCUUGGAGGCUUCUGUUCCAAGAACUUGAUCUCAAGCUACAGCUUCGGGAAAAGAGUGGAGAAGAUGAAGAACGAAGUGAUCGAAUUGAAGAAAGGAGGAGAAGCAAUCAAUCCACUUUAUGAGGAGGUACCAGAAGGUGCAGCGGUUGCAAUAGCUGUUGACCGAACAAUUGUCGGUCAAGAAUCAAUACUAGACCGAGUUUGGAGAUGCAUCACCGAUCAAGAACAGAAUAAGGGAAUUAUUGGCUUAUAUGGUAUGGGGGGCGUCGGCAAAACUACUCUGUUAAAGCAAGUCAAUAACAAAUUCUGCAGUGAUGAACAGCAUCAUUUUGGUGUCGUUAUCUGGUCGGUUGUGUCGAGAGAGCCAAACUUGAAGCAGAUUCAAGUGGAUAUUGGAAAAAGGAUAGGCUUCUCAACAGAUUCAUGGCAGAGAAAAAGUUUUGAAGAAAGGGCUUCAGACAUCACCAACGCUUUAAAGCAUAAGAAGUUUGUAUUGUUAUUGGAUGAUAUAUGGGAGUCCAAAAUUGAUUUAACCGAAUUGGGCGUCCCUCUUCAAAGAUUAGAUUCUGGGUCCAGAAUAGUUUUCACAACUCGUUUUCGUGGUACUUGUGGUGAAAUGGGAGCUGACGAGCGGUUCGAAGUGUCCUGUUUGGGAGAUGACGAUGCCUGGAAAUUUUUUGAGGGGGUGGUUGGGAGAUACGUUCUCGACAAGCAUCCCGACAUUCCGGAGCUAGCCAAAGCUAUGGCAAGGCAGUGUCAUGGUUUGCCGCUAGCACUCAAAACAGUAGGUAAUGCCAUGGCGAGCAAAGAGUACCCUCAAGAAUGGAGUCACGCCAUUGAGAUCAUAAGCAGAUCAGCUUCUAAAUUCAAAGAUAUGGAAAAACAGGUGCUUUCGCGUUUGAAGUUCAGCUAUGAUAGUUUGCCCACUGACGAACUUCGUUCUUGUCUCUUGUACUGUUGUUUAUUUCCGGAAGACUCUGAAAUUCCAAAAACCGACUUGAUGGAGUAUUGGAAAAGUGAAGGAUUUGUGGAUUCUAGCAGCGGGUGGGGGGUUCUUGGUGCUCUCCUUCGUGCAUGCUUAUUGGAGGAAGCAGGCUUAGUGGACGAAGGAGGUAAUCGUGUAAAAAUGCACGAUAUGAUUCGUGACAUGGCAUUAUGGAUAGCAAAUGAAAUAGAGGAGGAGGAGGAGAACUUCUUGAUUCGUGCAGGAGUUGGAUUAACUGACGCCCCAAAGAUUGAAGAAUGGGAAGGGGUCAAAAGGAUAUCCUUGAUGGAGAACAAAAUUCAAAGUCUACCACAAAUUCCCACUUGUCCGCGUCUCCAGACUUUGCUUCUAAAUCGAAAUCAUAUUGCGAAGAUCACUGACAGUUUCUUUCAAUCUUUGCCUUCGCUUAGAGUUUUGAAUCUAAGUGGAAAUCAUUACCUAACUGAACUACCUGUAGGAAUUUCAAGUUUGGUUUCAUUACACCAUCUUGAUCUGUCUUAUACUCCCCUAACUGAACUUCCUGUAGGGAUUUCAAGUUUGGUUUCAUUACACCAUCUUGAUCUGUCUUCUACUGAAGUACGUGGGUUGCCGCAAGAGCUCAAGGCAUUGGUGAAUCUGAGAUAUUUGAACUUGGAGUAUACACGUAAAAUGUCUAGAAUUCCAGAGCAAUUGAUAUCAAGCUUUCCAAAGUUACAGGUGCUCAGGAUGCUGAGUUGCGGUUCUGAGAUAUUUCCAAUAGUGGAAGAAGGCAACGUUCUAUCCGAUGGUGCUGAACCAUUGAUUAAGGAAAUCCACUGUUUGGAACAAUUAAAUCUCAUCACCUUGUCCUUACGUGGUACGCGUGGUGUUGAAAACUUUUUGAAAUUCCCAAAGCUGCAGAAUAUCACUCAAGCUCUGUCCAUCGAACACUGCAACAGUCUACCGCUCAAUUUGUUGCAUCUAUCAAACAUGGAGCAUCUUGAGAAGCUACACAUCGAGGAAAGUAAUUUGGAAGACUGGAAUGUCGACUGCGCAGGCGAGGUACAAAAAAUGCGUAAACUUCACUUUGUUACAAUAUACGAAUGCUCAAAUGUGAAGGACUUUACGUGGCUUGUUUUUGUUCCAAAUCUCAAGUGGCUACGAAUAUGUUAUUGUGAUGACAUGGAAGAAAUAAUCAGUGUUGAAAAAUUGAGUGAAGUUUCGGAGAUGAUGGGAGAGCUUAACUUGUUCUCAGAACUCGAACUUCUGGUAAUAAGAAAUGCAAGUAAUUUGGAGCGCAUCUACCGCGUUCCCUUGCCCUUUCCACAGCUGAAGGUAAUUGACAUAUCGGAAUGCCCAAAGUUGAAGAAGCUCCCGCUCAAUUCCAGCAGCGCAAAGGGACGUAAAAUUGUCAUUUACGGGGAGAAAGAAUGGUGGGAAGAGCUACAAUGGGAGGAUCAAGCCACUCAAAAUGCUUUCUCUCCCUGUUUCCUACCUGAUGAAUAAUAAAGUGCAAUAAGGCGCAAAAGUGUGAAUAAAAUUUCUGCGUGUGCUUAAUGUUAGGCACUAUUAUUCAGGCUUAAAUAAUAACAAUAAAAU
rnacentral:lncRNA from 1 species